GACGAACGCUGGCGGCGUGCUUAACACAUGCAAGUCGAACGGAAAGGCCCUGCUUUUGUGGGGUGCUCGAGUGGCGAACGGGUGAGUAACACGUGAGUAACCUGCCCUUGACUUUGGGAUAACUUCAGGAAACUGGGGCUAAUACCGGAUAGGAGCUCCUGCUGCAUGGUGGGGGUUGGAAAGUUUCGGCGGUUGGGGAUGGACUCGCGGCUUAUCAGCUUGUUGGUGGGGUAGUGGCUUACCAAGGCUUUGACGGGUAGCCGGCCUGAGAGGGUGACCGGCCACAUUGGGACUGAGAUACGGCCCAGACUCCUACGGGAGGCAGCAGUGGGGAAUAUUGCACAAUGGGCGGAAGCCUGAUGCAGCAACGCCGCGUGCGGGAUGACGGCCUUCGGGUUGUAAACCGCUUUCGCCUGUGACGAAGCGUGAGUGACGGUAAUGGGUAAAGAAGCACCGGCUAACUACGUGCCAGCAGCCGCGGUGAUACGUAGGGCGCGAGCGUUGUCCGGAUUUAUUGGGCGUAAAGGGCUCGUAGGUGGUUGAUCGCGUCGGAAGUGUAAUCUUGGGGCUUAACCCUGAGCGUGCUUUCGAUACGGGUUGACUUGAGGAAGGUAGGGGAGAAUGAAAUUCCUGGUGGAGCGGUGGAAUGCGCAGAUAUCAGGAGGAACACCAGUGGCGAAGGCGGUUCUCUGGGCCUUUCCUGACGCUGAGGAGCGAAAGCGUGGGGAGCGAACAGGCUUAGAUACCCUGGUAGUCCACGCUGUAAACGGUGGGUACUAGGUGUGGGGUCCAUUCCACGGGUUCCGUGCCGUAGCUAACGCUUUAAGUACCCCGCCUGGGGAGUACGGCCGCAAGGCUAAAACUCAAAGGAAUUGACGGGGCCCCGCACAAGCGGCGGAGCAUGCGGAUUAAUUCGAUGCAACGCGUAGAACCUUACCUGGGUUUGACAUGGAUCGGGAGUGCUCAGAGAUGGGUGUGCCUCUUUUGGGGUCGGUUCACAGGUGGUGCAUGCCUGUCGUCAGCUCGUGUCGUGAGAUGUUGGGUUAAGUCCCGCAACGAGCGCAACCCUUGUUCACUGUUGCCAGCACGUUAUGGUGGGGACUCAGUGGAGACCGCCGGGGUCAACUCGGAGGAAGGUGGGGAUGACGUCAAGUCCUCAUGCCCCUUAUGUCCAGGGCUUCACGCAUGCUACAAUGGCUGGUACAGAGAGUGGCGAGCCUGUGAGGGUGAGCGAAUCUCGGAAAGCCGGUCUCAGUUCGGAUUGGGGUCUGCAACUCGACCUCAUGAAGUCGGAGUCGCUAGUAAUCGCAGAUCAGCAACGCUGCGGUGAAUACGUUCCCGGGGCU
rnacentral:rRNA from 1 species